GUCUCAUUGAUUUUAAUUCAUUCAGAUUGGUCAGAAGAUCUCUGAUGUGUUCUUUACUUAUCCCAAUCUGCAUCUGUUCCCCUUUAUUGUCUGUGGUAACUU